rnacentral:rRNA from 1 species
UGGGGAAUAUUGCACAAUGGGGGAAACCCUGAUGCAGCGACGCCGCGUGAACGAAGAAGGUAUUCGUAUCGUAAAGUUCUGUCCUAUGUGAAGAUAAUGACAGUACCAUAGAAGAAAGCUCCGGCUAAAUACGUGCCAGCAGCCGCGGUAAUCCGUAUGGAGCGAGCGUUGUCCGGAAUUAUUGGGCGUAAAGGGUACGCAGGCGGUUUAAUAAGUCGAAUGUUAAAGAUCGGGGCUCAACCCCGCAAAGCAUUGGAAACUGAUAAACUUGAGUAGUGGAGAGGAAAGUGGAAUUCCUAGUGUAGUGGUGAAAUACGUAGAUAUUAGGAGGAAUACCAGUAGCGAAGGCGACUUUCUGGACACAAACUGACGCUGAGGUACGAAAGCGUGGGGAGCAAACAGG